GGUUAGUGGCGGACUGGUGAGUAACACGUAAGCAACCUGCCUAUCAGAGGGGAACAACAGUUAGAAAUGACUGCUAAUACCGCAUAUACCCAAGUGUCACAUGGCACAAUGGGGAAAGGAGCAAUCCGCUGAUAGAUGGGCUUGCGUCUGAUUAGCUAGUUGGUGGGGUAACGGCCUACCAAGGCGACGAUCAGUAGCCGGACUGAGAGGUUGAACGGCCACAUUGGGACUGAGAUACGGCCCAGACUCC
rnacentral:rRNA from 1 species